UGGGGAAUAUUGCACAAUGGGGGAAACCCUGAUGCAGCCAUGCCGCGUGUGUGAAGAAGGCCUUCGGGUUGUAAAGCACUUUCAGCGAGGAGGAAAGGUUGAUGCCUAAUACGUAUCAACUGUGACGUUACUCGCAGAAGAAGCACCGGCUAACUCCGUGCCAGCAGCCGCGGUAAUACGGAGGGUGCAAGCGUUAAUCGGAAUUACUGGGCGUAAAGCGCACGCAGGCGGUUGGAUAAGUUAGAUGUGAAAGCCCCGGGCUCAACCUGGGAAUUGCAUUUAAAACUGUCCAGCUAGAGUCUUGUAGAGGGGGGUAGAAUUCCAGGUGUAGCGGUGAAAUGCGUAGAGAUCUGGAGGAAUACCGGUGGCGAAGGCGGCCCCCUGGACAAAGACUGACGCUCAGGUGCGAAAGCGUGGGGAGCAAACA
rnacentral:rRNA from 2 species